ensembl:lncRNA
CCUGCGGGUGUGACAGAGCGGGGGUCUCGAGGGCGCAGACCGGUUUGUCCGCGAUGUGAGCUGGGGGGCCGGCCCAUAGCAGACCUGAGCCUCAGGUCCAUAAAAAGGGGGUGGUCGCCCUAAGAGAUGGUGGCUCUGCCGCAGCUAGGGGGCGAGAACCUGGCGGCGCCUCAGUUUCCCCAGAUGCACUCUGGGAGAGACUGAACCGAUUGCUCCCUGAAGGUCAACAGCUGGAGCUCUUUACUGAGUGCUGACUGCCCAGGCCAGGGCUGUGGCAGGGCGUCCUUUCGGCGGUGAGGCAGGCUGUGUGCCUCGCAGGCACAUGGUGACAUUCAGACAGCAGGCCACGUGAUGGACAGCAGUCGGGGGAAGGAGGGGGGCCCUGGAGUAGCGCAGAGCCAGGCCUGGGCACAGGAGGGCCAGUCACCUGGGGGCUGCCCCCACCCUCACAGCCUUUAUGGGUGGGCCGAUGGGAUCCCAGCUCUGCUCCCUGCCACUGUGGGGUCUUGAGCAAGAACUCUGAGCCUCUCCCAGGACUGGAGAGUGCCAAGAAGGGCCCCUUGGGGGCUGUCCCCCAGGACUCUGCCCCACCCCACCCAGAGACCCACAACUCCUCCCUGUCUGACUGGACUCCUUCUUGCUGCGGCUGGGUCCACUGUGGCUCCGAAGAGGUAGGAGGCUGCUGGAAACGUGAAGGAGCAGCUGGGAACAAGAACCUGCCGCAAACUUGGACACCCCUCACCAGGAGGGUACUGCACUCGUCAGAGUCCACCCAGGGCAGCCCCCUGCCCACUCCCUGUCACGGUGCCUGGAACCCACCAGCAAUGUCCCGGCCUGCUGCUGAGGGUUUUAAAGCCCCAUUGAGAUGCCCACGCUCCUGGGAGGAAGGUAGUGACGAGCCUCAGCUUGGGGACUGGCUGACCCCACCCAGCAGCUGGUCCCGCUGGGCACCGGGCAGGUUCUCUGUGCCUCUGUCUGUCUGUCCGCACCUCCAAGAGCCAGACCCUGCCCCACGGUGGUGGAGAGACACCUGUGCUGCCCACCUAUGUCUGCCUUGGGAGACAGCUGGGGGCCGACCGCGGGGUGAGUCCGACUGCAUCCUGGCUGCUCCAAGAGCUGCCCCGGAGGGGACGUGGGCAACGAACACCCCUCCUUCCCGCGGCUGCCUCCCUUUCCUUCCACCUGACCUCCCUCCUCCCUAUCCCACUCCUCCUCCUCUCUCUGCCCUCUGGGCUGGGUUCCCUCUCUGGAAGCCCCUCUGGCCUCCCUCGAUUGCCCCCACCCCUGCUCCCCCGGCCCUGCCCCGUGGCCGGCCGAGGUCUCACCUGGCUGCAGGGCCAAGCCAGUGAGCAGCAGGGCGAGGAGGACAGCCUUCAUGGUCACAGGCAGACAGUGGUGGAGCGGACCUCAGGGCGGCUUUAUAUAGCUUCAGCCCGCAAGACAGAGGCUUGGUGGUGCGAGGCCGGCACGAACAGGUUCCCGGGGCAGUGAGUACCUGAGGGUGGGGCAGAUCCCAAUCUCCGGCUGCCCCGCCAGGCUGCACCCUCCCACUCCCUUUGUCCUUCUUUCUGCUUCCAGAAGGCAGAGCCUGCCCAGGGCAGGGGCCACACUCCUCACCCGCAGCUAUUUCUCAGCCACCCCAGGAGGAGGCCCAGGUGACACCUCUGCCUUCUCAGAGCAGGCAGCCAGGCCAGGGAAGGGGGACCCCCUUCUGGAGACUCGUUCACUCCUUCAGUCUUUAAGCCAAGACUGAGGGGUGCCUCCUUCAGGCCCCCCUGUUCUCCUUUGCCCUCCUGGGGCUCACAGCCCUGCGGGCGUGACAGCCUCUGAUCAAACAUCACAGACAUGUCAGCACGGACCUCUGCCAUCAAGAGUGCAGGCUACAGAGAGGGCACCCCGGGGACCGUUCUGGGGCUGUGCCUUGGAGGCUGACAGGGCGCUGGUGCCUCUGAGGCACACAGGCCUGGAGCAUCAAGUGUGCGCAGGUCCCUUGGGACCUUACUUAAGCCCCACGCAAUGCGGAGCUUUAGCUGUGAGGGAGUCAGGGAAGCGCGGAGUUUGUGGCCUCUGCUGUGGGAGGAGGCAGAAGGGAGUUGGCCCUGGGGUGGGCAUUCUCUGUCUGGACCCCAGCCACUCUCCAGCCUGCUUUGUGCCCUGGGAUCCCACAAGGAUUCCAAAAGGGCUUCCAUCAUCCAGAGACCUGAGGGUGGGAGGUUCAGAGGUCAGGCCAUCUCUUCUGGCCACCCUGACUGCUGGACCAUGGUGGCAGUGGCUGUGUCCCUGCUGGCCAGCCUUCUCCUGUUGUGCCAACUCUGGCCAGCCUCUGCAGCUCUUCUUUCUCUCAUCCCCCGAAGCCCAGGGGGCCAUUGGCUUCCAGCUGCUGGUAGCCUGGGGCCAUUAGAGGUCCCUGAUGACCCUCUCGACCUGAUCCUCCCUUUGGAAAACAGUCUCCCCAGGACCCCUUGUGGUGCCUGGCCAUGCCCGCUGCCUGCUGGCCCAAGUGUGUCUGAGGGACCACACGCCCCUCCCACUUGGGAGGAAGAGUUCCUUUUAUUUCCCAAUGCCCUUCUGGCCCUGUGGAUGGCAUCUCUGACCUGCAUCUUACUCCCUGAUCCUUGAUUUCCCCCUGGAAAAGGGCCCUGGGGAUGUCAGGGGUGGUGAGGGUGCCUGGGCAGUGGGGCAAGGCCAAGGGGCAGGUGAUCCCUCCAGUGGGGGAAUGGCUCCCAUCUUCUCACCUUGAGCCCUGGAACAAGAUGAUGCGCCAUGUGGGCCAGGGGUGACCUAAGACCCAGCUCUCCCUGCAUCUCACAGCACCUCUGGGGUCUCCUCUGCCAACCCCUUGGCACCCUCCAGGUUGGGCUCUUCCCAUGGAGAUUGUCUCUCUGUAGGAGGUGAGGAGCCUGGGGCCCAGAGAGGGGCAGGAACUUGCUCAAGGUCACACAGAGGUUUGUGGCUGAAGAGGAAUUCUGCCACAGGAUGAGUCACACCUGCACUCCGCCUAUUGGAGCCACGUGACGCUCGGAUGGGACCGGGCUUUAGACGUUAGAGCUGACGCGGGAGUGAGUUAAGACUUUGGGCUGUUGGGAUGGAAUGUUUCUGCGUGUGAGCAGGACAGGAAUUUGAAGGCCAGGCACGGAAUGCUAUGGCCUGAAUCGUGUCCCCCCCACAGUUCAUAAUUUGAAGCACUGACCCCAACGUGAGGGUGUUUGGAGGGGGGUGACUGGGGUUAGAUGAGGUUGUGAGGGUGGGCCCCCAUGAGGGGAUCAGUGUCCUCAAAGAAGAGACUCCAGAGCUGCUCUCGGCCACAUGAAGACCCAGCGAGAAAGGGCCAUCUGCGACUGGGAAGCGAGUCCAGCCCGGAGCCCGACCAUCCUGGCAGCCUGGUCUCAGACUUCCUGCCCCAGAGGGCAAGAGAGAUGUUUCUGCUGUUUAUGUCACUCGGUCUGUGGGGUUUUGUUAUGGCAGCCCGAGCAGACUGAGACAAAUGGCCUAAUGGCCACAGUUCAGAUCUUAAAGACCACGGCCAGGACGCCCCGAGAGACAGGUGCGAAGCCCCUCCUGACCAGAGGCUGAGCUCUGACCUCAGCCCAAAAGGGAGCCCUCACUAGGGUCAUAGUGUGAGCUUUGACCCUGUCACCAAAUAAGCUCUGAUCCUGGUCACACUCUGAGCCCUGACCCUGGUCACACUCUGAGCCCUGACCUUGGUCACCUUCUGAGUCCUGAUCCAGGUCACACACUGAGCCCUGACCCUGGAUACACAUUGAGUUCUGACCCUGGUCACAUGCUGAGCCUCAUCUCCUGUCACUCAUGCUUUGAGCACACACUGAAUACAGCCCCUGAGCCUGGAUCCUCUGGUGGUCCCACUUUCUGGGAAAGUCUGUCACAAAGGGGCACGAGUCCCUGCUGUCACUCCAUGCAGUGGACAGGGUCUGGGCAUAGCUUUGACGUGACUCAGCCUUAGCCUUCUUCCUUUCCUCUGCUCUGCAGUCACCUCUUGAACUCCAGAUUUUCUUGUUCUCUCUUGACCUAGCUACCUGUCCAACCCCUGAGGCCCCAAACCAGUUGGGUUCCCUGGAGAGCCUGCCUGUUCACACGGCCCAGGAGUUUCCCCACUCUUUGCAGGGUGUGAAGCUGGGGCUGGAAGGACCAGCAGUGGGGCCAGGCCCUGGGGGCAGCAAGGCAGCUGGAGGCAGACCCGUACCUCACAGGGGGUCCUUGCUAACAGAGGACCAUGAUCUCCUGGGGCUGCCACACAGUCCCACACUGGAAGAGACAUCAUUUUUGGAUUAGUUCUUUAUUUUAUGCAGAGUUCACUUUAAAAAAUAAAGAUGGUGCAUUAAUUGGAAAACC